UUAAAAGACAAAUUAAUUUUUUUUUGAGAGGGAGUUUUGCUCUUGUUGCCCAGGCUGGAGUGCAGUGGCACGAUCUCAGCUCACUGCAACCUUUGUCUCUCGGGUUCAAGCAAUUCUCCUGCCUCAGCCUCCCGAGUAGCUGGGAUUACAGGUGCCCACGACCACGCCCAGCUGAUUUUUUGUAUUUUUAGUAGAGACGGUGUUUCCCUAUGUUGGCCAGGCUGGUCUCAAACUCCUGACCUCAGGCGAUCUACACACCUCGGCCUCCCAAAGUGCUGGGAUUACAGGUGUGAGCCAUUGUGCCCAGCCAACAAAACUACUAAAAAUAACUAUAGCUACAACCAUUUGUUAGUAGAUACACAAUAUAAAAAGAUGUAAAUUGUAAUAUCAUAAACAUAAAAUAGAGGAGGAGUAAAGAUGUGGUUUUUAUAUGCAAAGUUAAGUUGUUAUAAGCUUAAAAUAGACUAUUAUAACUAUGUUAUACGUGAGCCUCAUUGUAACUACAACACAAAAACCUAUGGUAGAUACAUGAAAAAUGAAGAGAAAUGAACCAAAGCAUAUCACCUAGAGAAAAUGAUCAAAUCACAAAGGAAAACAGCAAGGGAGGAGGAAAGGACAAAGGGAUCUAUAAAACAGUCAGAAAAACAAUUAACAUAAUGACCAUAGUAAGUCCUUACCCAUCAAUAAUUACCUUGAAUAUAAAUGAAUUAAAUUAUCUAGUCAAAAGACAGACAGUAGCUAAGUGGAUUAGAAAAAAACCCAAACAAGUCCCAACCAUACGCUACCUAUAAGAGACAUACUUCAGUUUUAAGGAUACACAUAGGCUGAAAGUGAAGGAAUAGAAUAAAAUGUUCUAUGCAAAUAGAAACCACGAAUAUGUGGAAAUUAAACAACAUACUCCUGAACAACCAAUGGGUCAACCAAUGGGAAGAAAUCAAAAGGGAAAUUUAGAAUUAUCUUAAGACUUGAAAAAAUGGAAACACAGCAUAUGAAAACUUAUGGAAUGCAGCAAAAGCAGUUCUAAGAGGGAUCAUUAUAGUGCUAAAUGCCUAUGCUAAAAAAGAUUAUAAACAAGCUAGCAUUACACCUCCAGAAACUAGGAAAAGAACAAAUUAAACCCAAUGUUAGUAGAAGUAAGGACAUAGCAAACAUCAGAGCAGAAAUAAAUGAAAUAGAACUAUAAAAAUGAUAGAAAGAUCAACAAAACUAAGAGUUGGUUUUUGAAAAGAUAAAUAAAAUUGACAAUCCUUUAGCUAGACUAAGAAAAAAGGAGAAAUGACUCAAAAUCAGAAAUGAAAGAGGAGACAUUAUAACUGAUACCACAGACAUACAAAGGAUCAUGAGAGAAUACUACAAGAAAAUGUACAGCAAAAAAAUGUAAAUAACCCAGAAAAAAAUGAAUAAAUUCCUGGAAACAUAUAACUUAACAAGACUGAGUCAUGUAGAAUAGAAAAUUUGGCCGGGCAUGGUGGCUCACACUUGUAAUCUCCACUUUGGGAGGCAAAGGCGGGUGGAUUGCUUGAGUCCAGGAGUUGGAGACCAGUCUGGGCAACAUGGUGAAACCCCGUCUCUACAAAAAAUACAAAAAAUUAGCCGGGCAUGUGUGGGCGGCAAGCCACCCAGGUGCUGAGGCAAGAGACCAAGGGCACGACCUGUUCCAGUAUAAUAAAGAAAAUAUAUAAAAUAAGAAUAGUUAUACUAGAUAUAGAUCAUAGAUAUGAUUAUAUAUGAAUAUCAUUAAUCACAGUUUGUAGCAAUUACUUUUUAUUCCAAUAUUAUAAUAAUCCUUGCUCUACAAUCAUAACCUAGGAAAAACCAGGCCAUACAGAGAUAGGAGCCGAGGGGACACAGUGAGAAGUGACCAGAAGACAAGUGCGAGCCUCCUGUUAUGCCCGGACAGGGCCACCAGAGGGCUCCUGGGUCUAGCGGUGAAGCCAGCGCCUGGGAAGACGCCCGUUGCCAAGCGGACCAUGGUCUAGCGGUAGCGUCAGUGCUUAGAAAAGGCACCGGUUACUUAGCAGACCGGGAAAGGGAAUCUCCCUUUCUCCGGGGGAGGUAGAGAAGACUCUGCUCCACCACCUCUUGUGGAGGUCCUGACAUCAGUCAAGCCCGCCCGCAGUCAUCCGGAGGCCUGACCGUCUCCCUGUGAUGCUGUGCUUCUGCGGUCACGCUCCUGGUCCACUUUCAUGUUCCACCCUGUACACCUGGAUCUGCCUUCUAGAUAGCAGUAGCAGAAUUAGUGAAAGUACUAAAAGUCUUUGAAAUGCAGAAGUAAUGGCGUAAGCUGUCUCUUUCUCCGCCUCGGCUGCCAAACAGGGAAAGGUGCCCUGUCCAGUGGACACGUGACCCACAUGACCUUAGCUAUCAUUGGAGAUGGCUCACGCUCCUUACCCUGCCCCCUUGUCUUGUAUCCAAUAAAUAACAGCACAGCCAGGCAUUCGGGGCCACUACCGGUCUCCGCGUCUUGGCGGUAGUGGCCCCCCGGGCCCUGCUGUCUUUUCUUCUAUCUCUUUGUCUUGUGUCUUUAUUUCUAUGAUCUCUCGUCUCCGCACAUGGGGAGAAAAUCCCACAGACCCUGUAGGGCUAGACCCUACAGGCAUGGUGGCACAUGCCUAUAGUCUCAGCUACUUGGGAGGCUGACUUGGGAGAACCCAG
rnacentral:lncRNA from 1 species